UCCCUGAGACUUAGAGUCUCCUGAAGGAACGUUGAAGACGACGACGUUGAUAGGCCGGGUGUGUAAGCGCAGCGAUGCGUUGAGCUAACCGGUACUAAUGAACCGUGAGGCUUAACCUUACAACGCCGAAG
rnacentral:rRNA from 8 species